GCAAGAUUAAAACUCAAAGGAAUAGACGGGGACCCGCACAAGCGGUGGAGCAUGUGGUUUAAUUCGACGAUACGCGAAGAACCUUACCUGGCCUUGACAUAGAAAGAACUUUCCAGAGACGGAUUGGUGCUAGUUUACUAGAGCUUUCAUACAGGUGCUGCACGGCUGUCGUCAGCUCGUGUCGUGAGAUGUUGGGUUAAGUCCCGCAACGAGCGCAACCCUCGUGUUUAGUUACUAACAGUUCGGCUGAGGACUCUAAACAGACUGCCUGGGUAACCAGGAGGAAGGUGAGGACGACGUCAAGUCGUCAUGGCCCUUACGGCCAGGGCUACACACGUGCUACAAUGGGGUAUACAAAGAGCUGCAAUACGGUGACGUGGAGCAAAUCUCAUAAAAUAUCUCCCAGUUCGGAUUGAAGUCUGCAACUCGACUUCAUGAAGUUGGAAUCGCUAGUAAUCGUAGAUCAGCAAUGCUACGGUGAAUACGUUCCCGGGUCUUGUACUCACCGCCCGUCACACCAUGGGAAUUGAAUUCAUUCGAAGCGGGGAUGCUAAAAUAGCUACCUUCCACAGUGGAUUUAGUAACUAGGGUGAAGUCGUAACAAGGUA
rnacentral:rRNA from 1 species